CAAUAGCGUAUAUUAAAGUUGUUGCGGUUAAAAGCUCGUAGUUGGAUUUCUGUCGAAGACGGCCGGUCCGCUCUAUGAGCGUGUAUCUGGUUCGGCUUUGGCAUCCUCGUGGGGAACGUAACUGUGCUUGAUUGCAUGGUACGGUAUUCACGACUUUUACUUUGAGGAAAUUAGAGUGUUCACGGCAGGCAAGCGCCUUGAAUACAUUAGCAUGGAAUAAUAAUAUAGGACUUUGGUUUUAUUUUGUUGGUUUCUAGAACUAAAGUAAUGAUUAAUAGGGAUAAUUGGGGCAGGUUGUUAUUAAUCGACGGUCAGAGGUGGAAUUCUUGGAUUGCGUUACGACAAACUACUGCGAAAGCAUUUGCCAAGGAUGUUUUCAUUGAUCAAGAACGAAAGUAUGG
rnacentral:rRNA from 1 species